GGUUAAGCGAAUAAGCGUACACGGUGGAUGCCUAGGCAAUCAGAGGCGAUGAAGGACGUGCUAAUCUGCGAAAAGCGUCGGUAAGGUGAUAUGAACCGUUAUACCCGACGAUAUCCGAAUGGGGAAACCCAGUAUCCAAUGGAUACUAUCAUUAACUGAAUCCAUAGGUUAAUGAGGCGAACCGGGAGAACUGAAACAUCUCAGUACCCCGAGGAAAAGAAAUCAACCGAGAUUCCCCUAGUAGCGGCGAGCGAACGGGGAGCAGCCCAGAGUCUUAAUCAAUAGCAGUGUCAGGAGAACGGUCUGGAAAGUCCGGCAGUAAAGGGUGAUAGCCCCGUAUCUGAAGAUGCUGUUAUUGUGAACUCGACGAGUAGGGCGGGACACGUGUUAUCCUGUCUGAAUAUGGGGGGACCAUCCUCCAAGGCUAAAUACUCCUGAUUGACCGAUAGUGAACCAGUACCGUGAGGGAAAGGCGAAAAGAACCCCGGCGAGGGGAGUGAAAAAGAACCUGAAACCGUGUACGUACAAGCAGUAGGAGCCUCUUUAUGGGGUGACUGCGUACCUUUUGUAUAAUGGGUCAGCGACUUAUAUUCUGUAGCAAGGUUAACCGUAUAGGGGAGCCGUAGGGAAACCGAGUCUUAACUGGGCGAAUGAGUUGCAGGGUAUAGACCCGAAACCCGGUGAUCUAUCCAUGGGCAGGUUGAAGGUUGGGUAACACUAACUGGAGGACCGAACCGACUAAUGUUGAAAAAUUAGCGGAUGACUUGUGGAUGGGGGUGAAAGGCCAAUCAAACCGGGAGAUAGCUGGUUCUCCCCGAAAGCUAUUUAGGUAGCGCCUCGUGAACUCAUCUUCGGGGGUAGAGCACUGUUUCGACUAGGGGGUCAUCCCGACUUACCAACUCGAUGCAAACUGCGAAUACCGAAGAAUGUUAUCACGGGAGACACACGGCGGGUGCUAACGUCCGUCGUGAAGAGGGAAACAACCCAGACCGCCAGCUAAGGUCCCAAAGUCAUGGUUAAGUGGGAAACGAAGUGGGAAGGCUCAGACAGCCAGGAUGUUGGCUUAGAAGCAGCCAUCAUUUAAAGAAAGCGUAAUAGCUCACUGGUCGAGUCGGCCCGCGCGGAAGAUGUAACGGGGCUAAACCAUGCACCGAAGCUGCGGCAGCGACACAAAGUGUUGUUGGGUAGGGGAGCGUUCUGUAAGCCUGCGAAGGUGUACUGUGAGGUAUGCUGGAGGUAUCAGAAGUGCGAAUGCUGACAUAAGUAACGAUAAUGCGGGUGAAAAACCCGCACGCCGGAAGACCAAGGGUUCCUGUCCAACGUUAAUCGGGGCAGGGUGAGUCGACCCCUAAGGCGAGGCUGAAAAGCGUAGUCGAUGGGAAACGGGUUAAUAUUCCCGUACUGGUGGUAACUGCGAUGGGGGAACGGAGAAGGCUAGGUUGUCCGGGCGACGGUCGUCCCGGUUCAAGCAGGUAGGCAGAGUGAUUAGGCAAAUCCGGUCACUUAAUGCUGAGAUGUGAUGACGAACCACUAAGGUGGUGAAGCAAUUGAUGCCCCGCUUCCAGGAAAAGCCUCUAAGCUUCAGGUUACCAACAAUCGUACCCCAAACCGACACAGGUGGUCAGGUAGAGAAUACUCAGGCGCUUGAGAGAACUCGGGUGAAGGAACUAGGCAAAAUGGUGCCGUAACUUCGGGAGAAGGCACGCUGGCGGUAGGUAAAGUCCCUCGCGGACGGCGCUGAAGCCAGUCGAAGAUACCAGCUGGCUGCAACUGUUUAUUAAAAACACAGCACUGUGCAAACACGAAAGUGGACGUAUACGGUGUGACGCCUGCCCGGUGCUGGAAGGUUAAUUGAUGGGGUCAGCCGUAAGGCGAAGCUCCUGAUCGAAGCCCCAGUAAACGGCGGCCGUAACUAUAACGGUCCUAAGGUAGCGAAAUUCCUUGUCGGGUAAGUUCCGACCUGCACGAAUGGCGUAAUGAUGGCCAGGCUGUCUCCACCCGAGACUCAGUGAAAUUGAACUCGCUGUGAAGAUGCAGUGUACCCGCGGCAAGACGGAAAGACCCCGUGAACCUUUACUAUAGCUUGACACUGAACAUUGAGCCUUGAUGUGUAGGAUAGGUGGGAGGCUUUGAAGUGUGGACGCCAGUCUGCAUGGAGCCAACCUUGAAAUACCACCCUUUAACGUUUGAUGUUCUAACCUAGGCCCAUAAACUGGGUCGGGGACCGUGUCUGGUGGGUAGUUUGACUGGGGCGGUCUCCUCCUAAAGAGUAACGGAGGAGCACGAAGGUUGGCUAAGCAUGGUCGGACAUCAUGCGGUUAGUGCAAAGGCAUAAGCCAGCUUGACUGCGAGAGUGACGGCUCGAGCAGGUACGAAAGUAGGUCUUAGUGAUCCGGUGGUUCUGAAUGGAAGGGCCAUCGCUCAACGGAUAAAAGGUACUCCGGGGAUAACAGGCUGAUACCGCCCAAGAGUUCAUAUCGACGGCGGUGUUUGGCACCUCGAUGUCGGCUCAUCACAUCCUGGGGCUGAAGUAGGUCCCAAGGGUAUGGCUGUUCGCCAUUUAAAGUGGUACGCGAGCUGGGUUUAGAACGUCGUGAGACAGUUCGGUCCCUAUCUGCCGUGGGCGUUGGAAGAUUGAGAGGGGUUGCUCCUAGUACGAGAGGACCGGAGUGAACGCACCACUGGUGUUCGGGUUGUCAUGCCAAUGGCAUUGCCCGGUAGCUAAGUGCGGAAGAGAUAACCGCUGAAAGCAUCUAAGCGGGAAACUUGCCUCGAGAUGAGUCUUCCCUGUCGCUUUAAGCGACCUAAAGGAACGUUUAAGACUAAGACGUUGAUAGGCUGGGUGUGUAAGCGUAGCGAUACGUUGAGCUAACCAGUACUAAUGAACCGUGAGGCUUAACCUG
rnacentral:rRNA from 1 species